rnacentral:rRNA from 1 species
AGAACGAACGCUGGCGGCAUGCCUAACACAUGCAAGUCGAACGAGACCGCUGACUUCGGUUGGCGCGUCUAGUGGCGCACGGGUGCGUAACGCGUGGGAAUCUGCCCUUGGGUACGGAAUAACAGUUAGAAAUGACUGCUAAUACCGUAUAAUGACUUCGGUCCAAAGAUUUAUCGCCCAGGGAUGAGCCCGCGUAGGAUUAGCUUGUUGGUGAGGUAAGAGCUCACCAAGGCGACGAUCCUUAGCUGGUCUGAGAGGAUGAUCAGCCACACUGGGACUGAGACACGGCCCAGACUCCUACGGGAGGCAGCAGUGGGGAAUAUUGGACAAUGGGCGAAAGCCUGAUCCAGCAAUGCCGCGUGAGUGAUGAAGGCCUUAGGGUUGUAAAGCUCUUUUACCCGGGAAGAUAAUGACUGUACCGGGAGAAUAAGCCCGGCUAACUCCGUGCCAGCAGCC